CGUAACAAGGUCUCCGUAGGUGAACCUGCGGAGGGAUCAUUACACAAAUAUGAAGGCGGGCUGGAACCUCUCGGGGUUACAGCCUUGCUGAAUUAUUCACCUUUGUCUUUUGCGUACUUCUUGUUUCCUUGGUGGGUUCGCCCACCACUAGGACAAACAUAAACCUUUUGUAAUUGCAAUCAGCGUCAGUAACAAAUUAAUAAUUACAACUUUCAACAACGGAUCUCUUGGUUCUGGCAUCGAUGAAGAACGCAGCGAAAUGCGAUAAGUAGUGUGAAUUGCAGAAUUCAGUGAAUCAUCGAAUCUUUGAACGCACAUUGCGCCCUUUGGUAUUCCAAAGGGCAUGCCUGUUCGAGCGUCAUUUGUACCCUCAAGCUUUGCUUGGUGUUGGGCGUCUUGUCUCUAGCUUUGCUGGAGACUCGCCUUAAAGUAAUUGGCAGCCGGCCUACUGGUUUCGGAGCGCAGCACAAGUCGCACUCUCUAUCAGCAAAGGUCUAGCAUCCAUUAAGCCUUUUUUUCAACUUUUGACCUCGGAUCAGGUAGGGAUACCCGCUGAACUUAAGCAUAUCA
rnacentral:rRNA from 1 species